rnacentral:lncRNA from 1 species
GUGGGGAUGGGGCCUCAUGAUCUAGGCAGCUAGGUUAGGAGAUGGGGUUGGGGUGGGAGCAGGAUGCCAAUAAACUGAUCCACGAUGGCCUUAAGGGUCAUUAUGAUGCGUGCAUUGCCACCACCAACAAAGACGAAAGAGCAAGAGAGAGAGGAGGAGAGCCACUCAAUAAUCAUGGGCCUGCUGUUACUUGGAGAUCAUUGGAGAUUACUGCUUGAGCAGGGAGGAUGGCACGAGGAGUAGGAGGAUAGUUAGAGGAGAUCGUGGAAGAUUGUUGCUCAAGAAGGAGAAUGGCGCA